UACGUAGGUGGCAAGCGUUGUCCGGAAUUACUGGGUGUAAAGGGUGCGUAGGCGGGAGCGCAAGUUAGAUGUGAAAUGCCGCAGCUUAACUGCGGAGCUGCAUCUAAAACUGCGUUUCUUGAGUGAAGUAGAGGCAGGCGGAAUUCCGAGUGUAGCGGUGGAAUGCGUAGAUAUUCGGAGGAACACCAGUGGCGAAGGCGGCUUUCUGGCUAUUAACUGACGCUGAGGCGCGAAAGCGUGGGGAGCAAACAGG
rnacentral:rRNA from 1 species